CUUAAAUAUGUGAGGAGGUUCUGUUGCCCCGGCGGUCACAAAUCCAUCUACUAUAAGUAGGAAAAUGCCUGUAUUUUGCAUUCUUCACAUCCUCAAUCUUUACUAUUAGAAAUCGUAUAGUGGCAGAAUCAUCUCUAAAUCCAGAGAGGGAAAGAGAAAUCGUGCAGCCAAUUUAUUGCUGAGAGCAAGGCCUCGUUUUCAGUGUGGGCUAUUACUUCUCGUUCUGUAGAUAAAUUUGCCGAGAAUAACUCAUCAUACAUGUGAUUCAGCGAUAUUAAAGAGAGGCCGAGAAAGAAAAGUAAACCAGUGAGAGGAGGAAGAUGGGAAAGAAGAAAGGGGAAGGAAGAAGCAAAAGGAAAAGUAAUAAAAUUAGAUCAAGAGGAGAUUAUGAAAAAGAGAGCUGAACUUGUAAAAGAAAAAAGAGGGGGAGAGACUGGAGAGCGAGGAGGAGAGAGCGAGAAAGACAUCGAAACUGAAGAAUAUUCACUUUAAACACGAGAAGGUUGACACAAGCAAGCUGCUUUUAAUUUUUAUGUUAACCCUAAAUGAAAGAGAAACUAAAAUGUGAAGGAGAAAAAGCUUCUAUUUUAGAAGCCUCAAUAUAAUACAUUUAAAGAAAUAUUUUUGUUGUAAAAUGUGUAAAUUGUUUUUGGAAUUAUCUUUUCAAACCAUGUACCUAGAUUUUCUGUAUAUAUUUUAUUAUGUGAGCACAG
rnacentral:lncRNA from 1 species